GGUUUGGCACCCCACCUAUUGGGUUUCGCACCCCACUUUAUUAAAAACGGGAAUUUAAAUUCCGAUUUUAAUACGAAAAAAACGGAAAUUAAAAAACCGUUAUGUAUUUUAGCAUAUGUGGCACAUUUUCAACCGUUCAUUGCAUAUAAAAAACAAAUCGGAAUUUUAAAUUCCGUUUUGAAAACGGAAAUUAAAUUUCCGUAUUGAAUACAUGGGGUGCCAAACCCAAUAGGUGGGGUGCCAAACC
rnacentral:pre_miRNA from 1 species